CUAGCUGUAAACGAUGUGAACUAGGUGUCGGUGGGAUUAAAUCCAUCGGUGUCGAAGCUAACGCGAUAAGUUCACCGCCUGAGGACUACGGCCGCAAGGUUAAAACUCAAAGGAAUUGACGGGGACCCGCACAAGCAGCGGAGCGUGUGGUUUAAUUCGUUGCUACACGAAGAACCUUACCUGGGUUUGACAUACUGGUUGUAGAGAACUGAAAAGGGACCGACCCUUCGGGGAGCCAGUACAGGUGU
rnacentral:rRNA from 1 species